ensembl:lncRNA
GGAAGUUGAAGGAUGGUAUCUGAAAUAGUUCCAAGGUGUUUUUUGUUUUUGUUUUUGCUGUUUGCCCUUAGCAACUGAGUAAUCAGUAUAUCAGAAGACCAAGCCGAGAGAAACUCUUGAUAAACUAGAUCAAUAAAGUAUAUCAUUUAAAGCACUUGGGAUUUAAUCUACUCUGUUCUGUAUCCAUCCAAAUGCUUUACUGAGAUGUAGUUGUUUAUUAUUUGUGGAUAGACUAUUUGAGAUAGUGGAUAGACUUAUAAUGUAGAUAACCAACUUAUAGGGGCAGGUAUAAUGUGCUUUCCUCUUAGUAUAAUGGAAUUGGAAAUAUGUAUUUCAGUUUUUAUUUAUAUUAAAUGAAUUGUAAAAUAAGAUCAAUUUUUUACUUUAUUUUAAGAUGCUAAAAUCAAAUGAGUAUUGUGAAAACUGGAAUCCAUGCCCAAUUUACUCAAAGUCCGAAAAGUGUUUGACGUCUGUGCCAAAUAAAAGCAACAGAAGACACCAGGAAGAUGGUGUAAGUUAUUCAAAGUCCAAGAAACCAAGAAUCAAUAAACCACCAAACUCAAAAAAGGUAUGUCAAUAUUAGAAGGCAUUUUCCCUCUAGUUAUACUAAAAAAGAAAUAAAAAUUAAGUUAGUGUUUGUCAAUUGUGUUCCAUUUUUGAAAGACAAGAAUUCUAUUUCUUUGUUAUCAAGGUACAAAUUAACUUAACUUGUGGGGCACUGCAGCAGGUUUGUCCAGGUAUGACUGGCUACCUUCAGAGUUAAUCCAGAACAUAAAUGCUCCAAACUGGCCCCAGCUUUACCAGCCAGUAUAGUCUCAUCCUCAGGGAAUAAUGAGUUUAAGAGGAAGGCUUCUCACAGAGAUCUCAGAGUUGAGAUAGGCUUUAAUAAGAAAAUAUGGACCAACGUUAUCUUAUCAAUACUUUGAUCCAAGCUCAAAAAAGACAGGUAGCUAGUUAAAUCAUUGUGACAUUCUUCCUGUAAUUGGUCCUAAUUAGCAGUCUGGCUUCAACAUUCAGGACCAGCUGAAAUAUCCCAAACAUUUUCAAAGGCAGCUCAUUAUAGUAAUCAAAAUAUGAAUAAAUAAGGCAUGCAUCACUGUAGUCAGAUCAGAAAUAUAUAAGAAUUGUAGUUGCCACAUUGCUGCAAAUAUGAUGUGCAGAGGCAUUCCUAGCCACCACCAAAACCCAGGCAUCCAGGUUCAGGACUCAACCCAGAAGUUCAUGCAAACUGAGUUUUCAAGAAGAGGGUAGGCUUUUAUGGCAUAGCUUGAGUUCCUACUUUGUGAUCUACUUUAGACUCUCCAGGUCCACCUGUCUCUAGUCUGAAUGUCCAGUGUGUUCUCUCUCAUCUAGUUCAAUAUUGACACAAGAACAGCUUCUUUGAAUUGAGAGAGAGAGAGAAUUAUGGUUGUCAUCACCUAACUUAUUUAAUAGUGAGAUCACAGUGUUUGCUGUACUGCACUUUCUUUUCUAGUAUGUAUGUUUUGCAGGUUUGUGUAGUUUUCAUAAAGCAGUAAAUCCUGUUUGACAUGAGGUAACAAUAGGAGAAAUGAAGCAUUUCUACACUUAUAAGAAACAAAGUUUCGCUCAAGUAUAUUUCAGUCCUUUAAAAAUUGUCUGUCUCAAACAAGAUAUAUAUGAAUAGGACGGGUCUACCUUUCUCUGUGACUCACAACUUUCAAUCUAAUGAGUCUUGCUAGUAGCUUGUCACUUUUCCAUGCCCAAACAUAUCUCCCUUUUUGUUUGUAAGCUGCACUUUAUGUAUUUAUAUUAUGUUUUGCAUAUGUAAGAAUUGGUUUUGAGUUAUUUUUAUUUAUUUAUUUUGUUAUUAUAGGAGCUGCUCAGAACACAGAAGAUCUUUUGGGCCUCUGUCCCAGAACAGUAGUAGUUAUUUUGGUUGUUUUAAUCAGCUUUUAAAUAUAUGUUUGUCUAUAAAUGAUAAACAUUGCUAGUGUACCUUUAUGACAGUGUGAAAUUGCAAAAGAAUAAGACAAUACAUAUAUUGGACUUAUUUUCUGUUGUUGAAAGCAUGUACAAACUUCUGGGAUGUAACCCAAAAUUUUAUUUUACUUAGAAAAUGUUGAAUAUGUUAUCUAGUUGAUUUGACCUGUUUGUUUAAUAAAGUUUGUUUCUGCUUAAAAAUUCUCUUCCUUUUGCAUGUGACUGAUUUUUAUCAAUGCACGAAGUGAUAAAUGCGAACGUUGGACAUAAUUACUGAUUUAUUCAUAGAACAGAAGUCAAGAACAAGGCAGCACUAUGUUUUGUGUAUAGCGUGACCAUUCUUUUGUUUUCUGUGACACUGGACAACAAAUUACUUUCAGUGCAGACCUAGACUGAGAUAUGCCAAACGCUCUGUGAAAUAUUACUCUUACUAACAUAAAAUCUAGUUUAUGUUAAUGGGUUCAACAAGCAUCUAAUUGGCAAUUGCCCUGUGAAAAUGGGCAUCAGGAUUCUGAUCUCCACCAGGCAAUAGAGUCACACACUCUCAGCUUUAGCCUAUUAGUUUUCGGAGCAGACCAGGAGGUUUUCAGAGACUUGCAUAGAGGUUGUAAUCAUUGACAAUAAGGACACAUUUUAUUCUUGGAACAUUUAAGAAUGCUCUUUUUCUCAUUUUAAAUGUGCUUGUCCCCUUUUGGAAAUCCCCUCCCUCAAAGGACUAGACAGUCCAUAAUACAUUUAAUUCAUUCAUUAAUUGACUCACUAAAGUAUGAGAUUGACUUGGUGUUAAUCAGGAAACCUAGUGAGUUGGCCACACUGCAAUAAAGAAA